UGAACAACCGACAGUGUUGCCAUAAAUUGUCCAGUGUCCACUAAAGGCCAUACUUCAGAUAUGUUAUUCUCUGAAAGACAGAUACAAAUAAAAGACAUUUUAUUUCAGAUCAUCCUUGUUCUCAAAGGCUUGUUCAUUCAAAAUCCAAUUCUAAUUCCAGCAAUAAAUAAAAAUGUCAGAAAAAGUGAACACACGAUAAAGAAAAGGUAGAAGAACACCCAAUGAUUAAAAAUCACAUAUUGAAGAAUAUUCAUUUAAGGAAAGUGCUUAAUAUAUAAUGUUAAAUGAAAAUGACAAAGCAAGACACGUAUUUCUUUAUGCAGUAUACAUUGAAUUUUUUUAAUGAGAAUAUAAAAAUGAGAUUCUUGAAGAAAACAAUAAAGUGUAGUCUCUGGAAGGUAAACUUAAAGACACCUUACAUUUUACUCUUUCUAUACUUAUUUACUUAUUUUCUACAAUGAAUGAAUUACCAGAAAAAUGCUACUUACAAAAGGAUAAAUGAAGACAACAUCUUAAAUCUUAAUACCCAUUCAUUCAAGAAGCAGAGGACACUUGCAAACUAAUACAAUAAAUAAUUUGGUAUGUCUCAGACAGGAAUUAGGUAUCAAAAAAUUGUAUGUGAGAAAACUGAGAAUGUUCUAAAAUUGUGCAAUGAUAGAUAGAUCAGAUCAAAAUAGCCCCCAGAGUUUUGCUUUCUCUCGCUGAUCUUUCUGCUAUUGAUACAUUGAUAAUGCCUUAUGGAGAAUACUUGGAUAGUACUUUUUUUUUUUUUUUUUUUUUGAGACGGAGUUUCGCUUUUGCUGCCGAAGCUGGAGUGCAAUGGUGCAAUGAUGUUGGCUCACCGCAACCUCUGCCUUCUGGGUUCAAGCAAUUCUCUGGCCUCAGCCUCCCGAGUAACUGAGAUUACAGGCAUGAGCCACCACGCCCAGCUAAUUUUGUAUUUUUAGUAGAGACGGAGUUUCUCCAUGUUGGUCAGGCUGGUUGCGAACUCCUGACCUGAGGUGAUCCGCCCACUUCGGCCUCUCAAAGUGCUAGGAUUACAGGCGUAAGCCACCGCGCCUGGCCAGAUGGUACUUUUUUAGAAAGAAAAAUCAUACUGGGAAAUUAAAUAUAAUGAAACCAAUCCAGACAUAGUAUCGUGUGAAAAAAAUGUUUUAACAGGCUUUUCUAAAAACACACAUGAAGAGGUCCUGGAACGGAAACUUUCUUUUUUUGAGACGGAGUCUUACUCUGUCGCCCAGGCUGGAGUGCAGUGGUGCAAUCUCGGCUCACUGCAAGCUCCGCCUCCCGGGUUCACACCA
rnacentral:lncRNA from 1 species